rnacentral:rRNA from 1 species
AUGACCACGCCCAGCUCACAAUUCAUUCCCCAGAUGCUACUGCUGCCAGCAAUCCUACUAGUCAUCUUUGCCGCCGCGGCUGAACAGAAGCAGCAUCCGGUGCCACGUCCUGGUUGCCGCGAUAAGUGCGGCGACAUCAGCAUCCCCUUCCCGUUCGGCAUCGGCAACGGCUGCUUCCGCGAUGGCUUCGAGGUCUUUUGCAACGACUCCUUCAUUCCUCCUCGUGCUUUUCUUGCUGACAACAGAACAAUCAAUCUAGAGACAUCCUUCUACGACGACCGGGGCUACUAUCAGUCGUCGCCGCCGCUGGAGAUCUUGAGCAUAUCAGUCGCCACGAGCAAGGUACGAGCAUACGCUGCAGUGUCGUACCGCUGCAGCCUAAAUAUGACCGGCCGGACCGUGUCCAAGGGAGGUGAGGGAAAAACCUUCUUCAUGUCCCAGCAUAUAAAUUUCGGCAACUCGCCGUUUGCUGUCUCAGCAGCGCGCAAUGUUCUCAUAGGCGUCGGCCAGAUAGUGGAGCCUGUACUGGUAUAUGGUAACGGCGGUUCGGUGCCUAACUUGUAUUGCCGCACAAUAUCAGAGAGACGGUACAUUCAGCGGUACAACCCGGUCAAGAAUGGGUCAUGCGAGGGGCGGGGCUGCUGUGAGACCACCCUUGUGCAUCCCGGCAAGGGUUUGACCGUGUCUGUCAUCGAGGAGGACGACAACGAGUGGUGGCAGCUCUACCCCUGCUCCUACGCCAUGCUGGUGGAGAAGUCAUGGUACAACUUCUUUACACCGGACAUGUCCGGUAACAAGACGCUGCACCAAAGGCUCCUCCGUGGCGUUCCCCUCGUACUGGAUUUCGCUGCCGGGAAUGCUUCGUGUCCGGCGGAUGGACAGCCGCCGCCUCCAGACUACGCUUGCAUCAGCCAAAACAGCUCUUGUGCCGACGCAACAAUUACUCCUGGCUAUGCCUGCCGGUGCUCGGACAAUUACACCGGCAACCCUUACAUCGCUCACGGUUGCCAAGACAUUGAUGAGUGCAAGCUCCCUGAAAAUCCCUGCUCAAAUGGCGGGAUCUGCAAAAAUAGGCCGGGAGGCUAUGACUGUCCGUGCAAAUUUGGAAUGAAAGCGGACGGCCAAGGGGGGACCUGCACACAUGUAUUCCCUCCGGCAGCAAUGGCGACUGUCGAUGAAGGAAUUCUACAAAAAGAAUGGUGGCCCUAUAUUGUAACAGGCAAAUACCAUUAAACUUUUCACAAAAGGGGAGCUCAAGCCAAUUUUAAAGAAUAGCAACUUAAUUGGAAAAGGUUGCUUCGGUGAAGUUUACAAAGGCCUUCUUGACAAUGAACAAGUUGCAAUAAAGAAACCGAUCAAUGGUAGCGUGCAAGAGAAUGACCAAUUCGCAAAUGAAGUCAUCAUCCAAUCUCAAGUCAUCCACAAGAACAUUGUUAGGCUCAUUGGCUGUUGCCUUGAAGUUGAUGCCCCCAUGCUGGUCUAUGAGUUCAUCUCACAAGGUAGCCUCCAUGACAUUCUUCACAACAACAGUAAAAAGGUGGCCCUCAACUUGGAUGCACGUUUAAGUAUUGCUGCACAAUCAGCCGAUGGUCUAGCUUAUAUGCACUCACAAGCAAACACUAGAAUUCUACACGGUGAUGUCAAACCAGCAAAUAUACUCUUGGAUGAUAACUUUGCACCCAAAAUUUCAGACUUUGGCAUAUCUAGGUUGCUUGCGAAAGACAAGGAACACACCGGAUCAGUCAUUGGCGACAUGAAUUAUAUGGAUCCGGUAUAUCUACAAGAAGGACUACUCACUGAAAAAAGUGACGUCUAUAGUUUUGGAGUUGUGAUCUUGGAGCUUAUUAGCAGCAGAAGGGCCAUACAUUCCGAGACUAAUGGUGUGGUAAAGAGCUUUCUUGAAGCCCAUAAGAAACAGAAGAAAGCGGCCGAGUUUUUUGACAAGGAAAUUGCAAUACCAGAAGAUUUAGAGCUUCUUGAUAGUGUAGCAAGUAUGGCCGUGGAAUGCCUUAGCCUUGAUGUAGAUCAAAGACCCACGAUGAUGGAGGUAGCUGAGCAGCUGCACAAACUGAGUCGGUCUCGUAAGGUACAAGAUGUUUGUCACUAA